CCUACGGGAGGCAGCAGUGAGGAAUAUUGGUCAAUGGGCGGGAGCCUGAACCAGCCAAGUCGCGUGCGGGAAGAAGGCCCUGUGGAUUGUAAACUUCUUUUGUCAGGGAAUAAAGUCCGUCACGUGUCCUCGUUUGUGGGUACCUCAUGAAUAAGCACCGGCUAAUUCCGUGCCAGCAGCCGCGGUAAUCCGGAGGAUGCGAGCGUUAUCCGGAUUUAUUGGGUUUAAAGGGUGCGUGGGCGGCCUGUUAAGCCUGCGGGAAAAGCCCGGGGCUAAACCCUGGCGAGCCGUGGAAACUGGCGGGCUGGAGUGGGAGGGAAGUACGCGGAAUGCGCGGUGUAGCGGUGAAAUGCUUAGAUAUCGCGCAGAACCCCGAUUGCGAAGGCAGCGUACGGGAUCGACACUGACGCUGAGGCACGAAGGCGUGGGUAUCGAACAGGAUUAGAUACCCGGGUAGUC
rnacentral:rRNA from 1 species